rnacentral:lncRNA from 1 species
GAGCAGACGGUGACGAUAUCCGCACAUAUUCUGGAGAAGUGAAUAUUAGGUUCUUGCAAGGGUCUGACCCGAGCUCCCAGAGGGAUAGCAUUGGCUCCAGUCAGAGGAUGGCCCGAACCUCAACUGACGAGGCCGAGUGGACGGACAUUGAGGAGAAGAGAGGCGAAUGAUUUACUGGUUUGGAAGUUCUCUUUGUUUGUUUGGUGAAAGGU